UAAAAAAUUGUCCAGUAGCACCUUAGAGACCAACUAAGUUUGUUACGAAAGCUCAUACUAAGAACAAACUUACGUUGGUCUCUAAGGUGCUACUGGACAAUUUUUUA